rnacentral:rRNA from 1 species
AUGAUCAUUUACAGACUAGCUGAUCUUGCCCUAGGAAAGAUUGUCCCGGUAAACAGCAUAGGUGGCAAUGCUCUUUUGUUUGGUACUAAAGGGAACCCGAGUUUUAGUUUGUCGGCGGUGCCUACCAUCACUGGCGAUACCAUUGUGGUUGCAAAUUGCAUCCCUGACAAAUAUAUAUUGCAAUACCACCUCAGCAGCGACACCUGGUCAGCAAGAGUUGGGGGAUGUGCAGAACAUGGUUGCAACAUGGAGUGUACUUGUAGCCUCAUUAACCAUAUGUGCAAUUCAUGUCAUUGCAUUUUUAAGUGA